GAAGGGGCAUGUGGGAUCCCGGCUGGGRRAGGGASGACAUCUCCUCCACGUCUCUUCAGUUGUUGGCACGAGCAUGUUCUCGGCCGAUGUCGGGUUUCCUGUGYUGAAUACCUAUCGKGAGGGCAUUAUGUCGGCUAGUAUGGUUCHUUUCCCGCCUCGUGCUGCUGCUCCCCGUGGGCAAGCGGUGCGRGGUGGGCCAAAUCGGGCACGUUGUGUGUCGCACCGKGUUCACCUUAAYCGGUGUUCGGGUUGUCGACCCAUGACGUGUCGCGCGGUCUCUCGGGUACGGUAGAUCACGUGGGUACGAGGCCUCGGCCUCCGAGCACCACAAACAAGCGUUCUACGCUUCGUGCGAACGACGGUCGGUCCGGUCUUUGUCCGUGCUCCCGUAGCUCGKUUCWAGUCCGGACGACCUCCAUUAAGAAUGCU
rnacentral:misc_RNA from 1 species